rnacentral:rRNA from 1 species
CCUAGGGAGGCUGCAGUGAGGAAUAUUGGUCAAUGGGCGUAAGCCUGAACCAGCCAAGUCGCGUGAGGGAUGAAGGUUCUAUGGAUCGUAAACCUCUUUUAUAAGGGAAUAAAGUGUGGGACGUGUCCUAUUUUGUAUGUACCUUAUGACUAAGGAUCGGCUAACUCCGUGCCAGCAGCCGCGGUAAUACGGAGGAUCCGAGCGUUAUCCGGAUUUAUUGGGUUUAAAGGGUGCGUAGGCGGCCUUUUAAGUCAGCGGUGAAAGUCUGUGGCUCAACCAUAGAAUUGCCGUUGAAACUGGGGGGCUUGAGUAUGUGUGAGGCAGGCGGAAUGCGUGGUGUAGCGGUGAAAUGCUUAGAUAUCACGCAGAACCCCGAUUGCGAAGGCAGUCUGCCAAGCCAUGACUGACGCUGAUGCACGAAAGCGUGGGGAUCAAACAGGAUUAGAUACCCCGGUAGUC